AUUGGACGCUGGCGGCAGGCUUAACACAUGCAAGUCGAGCGGGGUGAUGGUGCUUGCACUAUCACUUAGCGGCGGACGGGUGAGUAAUGCUUAGGAAUCUGCCUAUUAGUGGGGGACAACAUCUCGAAAGGGAUGCUAAUACCGCAUACGUCCUACGGGAGAAAGCAGGGGAUCACUUGUGACCUUGCGCUAAUAGAUGAGCCUAAGUCGGAUUAGCUAGUUGGUGGGGUAAAGGCCUACCAAGGCGACGAUCUGUAGCGGGUCUGAGAGGAUGAUACGCCACACUGGGACUGAGACACGGCCCAGACUCCUACGGGAGGCAGCAGUGGGGAAUAUUGGACAAUGGGGGGAACCCUGAUCCAGCCAUGCCGCGUGUGUGAAGAAGGCCUUAUGGUUGUAAAGCACUUUAAGCGAGGAGGAGGCUCUUUUGGUUAAUACCCAAGAUGAGUGGACGUUACUCGCAGAAUAAGCACCGGCUAACUCUGUGCCAGCAGCCGCGGUAA
rnacentral:rRNA from 1 species